GACGAACGCUGGCGGCGUGCUUAACACAUGCAAGUCGAACGGAAAGGCCCUGCUUUUGUGGGGUGCUCGAGUGGCGAACGGGUGAGUAACACGUGAGUAACCUGCCCUUGACUUUGGGAUAACUUCAGGAAACUGGGGCUAAUACCGGAUAGGAGCUCCUGCUGCAUGGUGGGGGUUGGAAAGUUUCGGCGGUUGGGGAUGGACUCGCGGCUUAUCAGCUUGUUGGUGGGGUAGUGGCUUACCAAGGCUUUGACGGGUAGCCGGCCUGAGAGGGUGACCGGCCACAUUGGGACUGAGAUACGGCCCAGACUCCUACGGGAGGCAGCAGUGGGGAAUAUUGCACAAUGGGCGGAAGCCUGAUGCAGCAACGCCGCGUUCGGGAUGACGGCCUUCGGGUUGUAAACCGCUUUCGCCUGUGACGAAGCGUGAGUGACGGUAAUGGGUAAAGAAGCACCGGCUAACUACGUG
rnacentral:rRNA from 1 species